rnacentral:lncRNA from 1 species
GCAUAGUAUAAUACAUAAAGGUAAAGCUCUGAAAGACAAUGAUUCUUGACCAAUACAAUUACUGUGAACACCUCCCAAGACUAGUCUCACCAAGUACGUGAGCUUCUAAGAGAACUAAAUACAAGGUCUAAAAUAAAAAUACAGUACUGUCUGAUAUAAUGAACAGUAAAUAAAGAGGGUGAAGGUGACUCCGAAGUCUGCGAUGAAAGUGCACCACCACCUCGAAUCUCCCUGAACUCCAAGAUAUGCUCCCAUCUGAACGCUGCUAGGAUCAAUGUUUGAAUCCAUACAAAAAGUGCAGAAGUAUAGUAUGAGUAUUACCAAUCUAAUAUACCCAGUAAGUAUUGAGCCUAACCUCGAUGAGAUAGUGAUGAGGUCAUGGCAAGAUACUUACCAUAUGAACCUAUACAGUUAAUAAGCAAUAAAGGCAGCAAGAGAAGUAACAAUAGUAAUAAAAUGAAUACAGGCAAAAAAUAACAAAAAAGGAUUCGAUAAAAGAAGUAAGAUAGACCAAAAUCUAUGGUCUAUGUUAAAUCAACGGGGAAAAUAGGAUAACAAUAGUUUCUUGAUUUAAGAACCAAAACUUUUCUCAACAGCUAAAAUCAACAGGGAUUAAUAGGAUAACCGUGAACAACAUAGCUAAACCCAUAAAGGAAGAUAAUAUCACAAACUAACAUCAGAAUUCAUAACAUAUACAUUGUGGCGCACAAUCCGAUCCAGCACAAAAAAUUAUUGCAAUGACAAUCUGAUUCCAUGACCAUAUUGUUGUGGCAAGCAACCUGAUCCUUAUCAUAUAAAUAUUGUGGUAGCAAACCAAUCUAACAUACCAAUACGUAUGAAAACAUCAAUCAAGUAGUCAUCGUGAAAACAUUUAUAACAUAACAUAAAAGAUGACGAAUAAGCAUUAUUCAUUAAGAAAGGAUAAACACUAUGCAAUCCAAUAUUCAAGAUCUAAUCUCAUAUACAUAUCUCAAUACGGACUCAAACAAGGUUACUAACACGUGAACAAUCAAGUAGUAACACAAUCCAACAUAUUAUAAGAGAAUAAGGCAUGAAACAAGUAAAGACAUAAAACAAGUAAGAGCAUGAAAUAAACUAGUUUUACCCGCAUGAUUUAACUCAUGACAAUGCAUAUACAGUCAUUACCUUAUAUAUGCGCCGCAACCAACACUUUAAGCAAACAAGUAAAGAAUUUACAACCUAAUUCCUUCAAAUCAAGGUUAACUACAAUACUUACUUCCUUACGAAAUAAAUCCAUAAUUCAAAACAUCUGUUCCUUUCGUACAAUCCUCCAAACAAUUCUAAUGUAGUAAAUUAAUACUCAAAUAAGUCAAAACAAGCUUUAUAAACUACCCUAGUAUAAAAAAGUAUUUGAAUUUUAAUAUAUUUGGGAAAGUUAACCGAAAGUCAACUUGAACCCACUUGAUUGAAAUCCGGAAUCAAAACUAAUUCUUAAUUACCCAUUCAUCCCCGAGUCUAAAUAUGUGAUUCGUUUCGAGAUCCGACCUCCAAUCGAGAUCUAAAUCUCUAAAACACAAAAUAUUAAGUCAUUACCCAAAACAAUCAUAUUUAUACUCCGUGGAAUCCUAAAUUUAGGGAUGAAAAUAUAUGAAGAAUAAUAAAAAUUAAUCCAAAAUAAGUUAAAGUCACAAACCCUUGAAGUUGGGAAGAAAAUCCUCUCCAAAAUCGCCUCCUAACGAAGUCUAGGUCUCAAAAAUGGAGUAAAACGAGCUAAUUCUUAAACCUUUUCCUUUUUACCCAGCUGCAAAUAUCGCAAUUAUGAACUCUUGUUCGCAAUAUCAUAUCUAACAAAUGUGAUCCAGUGGUCGCAAAUGCGAAAGGGUCCCCUAGCCUCAGAAGUCACAAGUGUAGUAGGUUCUUCACAAUUGCAAGUAUUACAAUUGCGACAUCAGCAUCACAAUUGCAAAGCUGGCUCUUCCUCCCUGGGUAUUGCAAAUGUGAUCAACCAUUCGCAAAUGUGAGUCUCACAUUACCGUGCUUGCCAUUGCAAAUGUGAUGACUGCAGCAUCAGUAAUGGAAACAUAGCAAAAUCAUCUCCAAACGAAUCUGAAAUUCACCCGAGCCCCUCGGGACCUCAUCCAAACAUUCAAACAAGUAUAUAAAUCUCAUACGAACUCACUCAUAAGCUAAUAAUAUCAUACUAACAUUAAAAAAAAUUAAGAAUGGAGUAUUAAAACUCAAGAAUUCACAUGUUCUUAACUCAAAUUUUUAAAUUUCAACAAUAAGCGUUGAAACGGCCUCGGGUCACUUGGGACCUAAACAAAACAUACGUACAAGUCCAAAAUCAUCAUACGUACCUAUCGAAAUCGUCAAAAUACCGAUCUGAAAUCGUUUACCAAGAAUGUUGACCUUGGUCAACUCCAACAACAUAAGAGCUUUAGAAUGUGAAUUUCUCUACCAAAACACAUCUAAGCUUUUCGGAAAUCAAAUUGAGUCAUGCACACAAGUCAUAAUAUAUCAAAUGAAGCUAUUCAAAGUCUCAAAUAAUGAAACGGAAAGGUAGAACUCAAAACGAC